UUAACAGGAUUUGAUACCCUGGUAGUCCAUGCCGUAAACGUUGGGCACUAGGUGUGGGGCUCAUUCCACGAGUUCCGUGCCGCAGCAAACGCAUUAAGUGCCCCGCCUGGGGAGUACGGCCGCAAGGCUAAAACUCAAAGAAAUUGACGGGGGCCCGCACAAGCGGCGGAGCAUGCGGAUUAAUUCGAUGCAACGCGAAGAACCUUACCAAGGCUUGACAUACACCGGAAACUUCCAGAGAUGGUUGCCCCGCAAGGUCGGUGUACAGGUGGUGCAUGGUUGUCGUCAGCUCGUGUCGUGAGAUGUUGGGUUAAGUCCCGCAACGAGCGCAACCCUCGUCCUAUGUUGCCAGCGGGUCAUGCCGGGGACUCAUAGGAGACUGCCGGGGUCAACUCGGAGGAAGGUGGGGAUGACGUAA
rnacentral:rRNA from 1 species